CUACGGUGAUGAUAAAAUGAACUCUCUCUUACCGAAUCAGCCUUUGAAGAAGAAACUCUUUACAGAUUCUGAGUAGC
rnacentral:snoRNA from 1 species